UCCGGUUUGUCACCGGCAGUCUCCCUGGAGUUCCCGGCAUCACCCGCUGGCAACUAAGGACAGGGGUUGCGCUCGUUGCGCCACUUAAGGCAACACCUCACGGCACGAGCUGACGACAGCCAUGCAGCACCUGUGCGGGCUCCCGAAGGAGGACCGUGUUUCCACGGCUUCACCCCGCAUGUCAAGCCCUGGUAAGGUUCUUCGCGUUGCGUCGAAUUAAGCCACAUGCUCCACCGCUUGUGCGGGUCCCCGUCAAUUCCUUUGAGUUUUAACCUUGCGGCCGUACUCCCCAGGCGGUCAACUUCACGCGUUAGCUGCGGCACGGAACACGUGGAAUGUGUCCCACACCUAGCGCCCAACGUUUACGGUGUGGACUAC
rnacentral:misc_RNA from 1 species